rnacentral:rRNA from 1 species
UACGAAGGGGGCUAGCGUUGCUCGGAAUUACUGGGCGUAAAGGGCGCGUAGGCGGACAGUUUAGUCAGAGGUGAAAGCCCAGGGCUCAACCUUGGAACUGCCUUUGAUACUGACUGUCUUGAGUUCGGGAGAGGUGAGUGGAAUGCCGAGUGUAGAGGUGAAAUUCGUAGAUAUUCGGCGGAACACCGGUGGCGAAGGCGGGUCUCUGGGCAUUUCCUGACGCUGAGGCGCGAAAGCGUGGGGAGCAAACGGG